rnacentral:rRNA from 1 species
AUGGCUAGUCUCCUUCAUUGGGACUUUGCCCCUGGGCUCAAGGUGGAACAGAAGGUACGUGCCAAGUUUAGAUCUACAGUGCACUUUGAAAGUUCUUCGGGGACCAAGGAAUUUUUCCUGGUUGUCUCUUUCUCGUCGGCCUCCUUCCCUCUUUCUGAAGAGGCGGUAGGAGUGGUUUUGCAAUGUUGCAUUGGUGUCUUAGCCGUGGGUUUCAAUGUAAAGCAAUUGGGAGAUCAGAAUUUUCGGUUUUCGUUGGCCUCUAAUCGUGUUGGUCAUUUCAUAUAUGGCUUGAAGGAUCGUGUUUGGCCAAAUUUUGUCUGUCACUUCCACUAG